UUCAAAGAGACCUUUUCGUUUUAUUUCCAAAAAUUUUCCUAAACUUAUAUGGCCCAAUCGUUCAUACCACAAUCGAUACUCAGCACUAUUUUGGGAUUCUAGACAAUCCAGCAAACACCAAUACGCCGUUUUUCGAAACUCUUAUGCCUUCAGGGUUGAACUCUAUGGUCGUCCCAGCAUCCUGCAUCUUUUUGACCGAGAGAUUAUGAGGAAUAUCCUUACAAUACAGUACGUUUUGUAGGGUGAUUUGGUUUCCAGAGCUGCCACAUUCGAUUGCAAACGCUCAUAGUCGGAGAAUAAAGCUGCGUCAUUUAUGAGAUGAUCCGAUGCUCCUGAGUCUAGCAUAAACUCAACCUCAUCCGUGCUCGGGCUUGAUGUUGCAUUUGUCAUCAUAAAAGCAAAACUACGCUCCGGCUGUGCUACCACUGCUGUUGUUGCUGCUGUUAUUGCUGCUGCCAUUUGAGCCUGCCUUUCCUUUCCACCACUUUCAAUUGAAUUGUGAAUUCCCUGUCUUUUAAAAAGGUAGUAGUCCUUCUUAAAAUGACCUGGUUUUCCGCAAAAAAAGCAUUUGGUUUUUGGCUUAACAAAGAGUUUGACUAGUUUCUUUCCAAAUUUCGCUUCUACUUUAUUGUUAAACUUACCUUUAAAUUUCUUUUUUGCCUAUUGCCUGCAGCACUUUGUGGCUAGUAUCCUUGUUCAAAUUCUUAAGCUUUAUCUCCUGAUCAAGAAGUCGUGUUUUUACAAAAGCUAAGGUUAGGUUACUUUCAGAUAAGGUCUCAAUCGCAUUUAUAACUCCAUCGUGACUGGGUGGAAGAGUGAGGAGUAGAUGGGAAACUUUAUCCAUCUCGUCUAGCUUUGCUUCUGAAGCGAAGUGAUAGUUGCGAUGCUAGGCUCUUUCUUUCGUAAAUGGCAUUUAAAUUAGCAAAGUCACUGCUAGCAAAAGCUAAAAAAGAAUCACUUAAAUACUCAAUGAUCAAGUUUUUUGCAGCUCUUUCAGCCUCUUUGUUUUCUUGUUCACUUCGAAAUUUAUCUCAUCAAUUACUUUCAACAGGUCAUGCUCCUCCAAAAGAGCUCUAACUCUGAACUUCCAAAAAGAGUACUUUUCACCAUCAAAUGGUUUUAUGUUCCUUUUACCCUUAUCCAUCGUUUUCGAAUACAGCAACGCUUCUUAGCAAACAACCUCUUAGCAACACAACAUAGUCUAGCAACACAGUCCAGCAACAAAAUCCAGCAAUACAGUUCAGCAACAAAGUCCAGCAACAUAGUUCAGCACCAAAAUCCAGCAACACAGUUCAGCAACAAAAAUCCAGCAAGAAGAGAACUUAUGGCGAAUUCAAAUCACGUGGCUUUUGGAAUCUUUAUGCAGCGAAUUCGUCUUGGCUUCUUCCUGGAAAUAUGUGAAAAAAUGUUAUGCUGCGAAUUGGUCGCAGCGUCAUAUAUUGUGAAAUCAAUAAGUUAUAUUUUGCAAUUUCUAUCACACAAUAAUCAAACACUUCCAGCAAUUAUAUUUCGUUGCUGACUGCAAACGUAGUACAUACAUAUGCAUGUGAAUGCAUGC